GACUGAUCAUAUCUGCUCUGCUGUGUCGCAGAUCAAAGGAAAUGAUGUUCUUGAAAGGACUUUGUGAGUGGUGGUAUUUCAGACAGAUGUGUCCCAAGAGCUCGUCCCUGGGGUGAGCAUGCUCCAGGCUCUCAUCUUCUUCCCCAUCUUUUUAUUGUAGAGAAACCUGUGGGGCUGCCCUGGGAUUGAAAAGGUCAACAUCUGGCCUGAGGCUCUAACUCAGCAACAGAGCACUUAUACCUAGAGUUCACUCCAGAUGGAGUCAACGUGACAACCCAGGAGAGCCAGUCCAGAACUCAUGCCUGGUACUGAGAACAUGGUCAAAGCCCAGGGCUGGGCACGUCACAGAUGUACCGACUGAUAUCUACUGAUGCGCUGCAAAGAGGUCACGUUGUCAAAAUUUCUUCUAAAUAUUUAGGUUUAUGUUCAUGAAUUUGUGAUGCUUUUAUCUUUGACAGGAAACUUCUUGUUGCGGUGGGGAGUAGUUAAUGCUGGGUCAUCACUUUUCAAAGUGCUGAGAAAACAAAUCAAAACACCAGAUAGAGCAAGCCUUGGCUACACCGUAUGUGUAUAUGUGUGUGUGUUGUUAUUGUAGUGCAAUGUAACUUCAAAGGCAUGUUUUAAAACAAUAUUUAAGAAUACAAUGAAACGAACCAUACUGUUACAUAAGAAAAGCAAACUACAGAUCAAACAUGGGUCUCAUAACUAUAAUCCCACCAGUCAGACGAGGCAGAAAAAUCAUAAUUUCAAGGCUAGCCUGGGUAAUAAUGUGCAUUGCAUAUAGUAACAGGGUCAAGACUAUAGCUUGAUGGUAGAGAACCUAGCAAGGGUGAAGGCCUUGGUCCAAAGCCUAGUGUUGUUUUACACACACACACACACACACACACACACACACUUUUUUAAUUAUAGAAAUUAUUAUUGUACUAUUAACAAAUAAGUACUGAAUACCAAGCUUGAGCCAGAAACUACACAUACUUGUGAAGACAACAGACUCACAACAGUCUAUAUAAAUUUGUACCAACUUAUAUAGAAAGAACUACAUGUUAGUUCUUUUCUAUAGUUAAAUAACUAUAUAUUUGAGCUACAUAUGUGCAUGCGUGUACUUUUAUGUAUAUGUAAAUAUACUCAGGGCUGGAUCGAUGUCUCAGCAGUUAAGAACAUUUGCUGCUCUUGCAGAGUUUGGAUCCCAGUACCACAUCAGACAGCUCACAGCUGCUUUUCCAAUUCCCUCCUCUGGCCUCUGUGGGCACCCACACACAUGUGAUGUACACACAGAUACAGACACAAACAUACAAGAUAAAAUAAACCUUAAGUAAGGUUGGGGAGGCUUGCUCUGGAGCCUACUUGGGUGUCUACAGAUGGGUGUGGCAGCCUCCCCUGGGGCAAAGCUAGUUUAGUAGCAACUACCUCCCCUUCCCCCAUCCCCUAAAGUGGCACUUCUUCUCCAGCAGCUGUCAACUGCCAAUAGCUCCUCAGUUAGAGGCAUAGCCACUGGAGGCCCUAGCCCUCCACGCUGGAAUCUUUAACUGACUACUAGAUUGUGGGUGGGUAACCACAGCUGUCACCAUUUGUGUAUGCCACAGCUAUGCCAUGGCCAGAGGACCUUGGGUCCCAGCACUCUCCCUGUCCUCUGGCUCUUAUGUCCCCCACCCUUAGUGUUCUGUGGUCCUUACUGAAGAGGGUUGAAAUCUAAGGCCGAGUACUCAGGCAUUUAUUCUCAGGACAGUUUUUGUUUUGGUUUCCCUCUCAAGACAGGGUUUCUCUGUGUAGCCCAGGCUGUCCAGCCACUUAUCAUGUAGCCCAGGAUGUCCUUCAACUCAUGAUCCUUCUGCCUCAGCUUCCCUGGGAUUUUACUCAUAGAAUUUAACCUAAUAAUUCAGGAUAAGCAUCCUUACACAAAAAUUAUUUAUGCCCAGAAGGCAGGAUGAGGUGGGAGGAUCACUCUGAGUGGCCUUAAAUAGUAAGACCCUGUUUGGGGAGAAACAGUUUAUAUUCAAUCCUGGACAAAUUGCUAAAAGUAAAAUUUUUAAUUUUUUUAAGUCUUUUUACAUAGUUCGAUCUUGAGCUCAGGAUCCUCAGCUUCCCAUGAGCUUGGGUUUUAGGGGUGAACCCCGACACCUGACCCUUAAAACAAACGUACUCAUUAGAGAUCCUGAACAGCCUGAGAUUUGCGUGGGGGCUGUGGUUUGACCCAGAGAGAUGUGACAGACAGGGAUGAUUCAUAAUAGCGUUCCUGAUUCUCCUCCAUGAUGCAGACAUUUCCCAUCUCCAUUCUCCACGCCUGCCCCAACAAAUCUAAAAUAUGCCGGCCUGUCUAGCUGGGGACCCCCCUACUCUAGAGUCUAGGAUCUUGACGUCACAGCACAGUGUGACUAGCUUACCAUCAAGGUCAACCCUCUCUCCUCUUUCCUUUAAACAAAACCUUAUUCUUUACAUAACUCAGUGCCCCCAAUCCUCUCAAGUCUCCACCUCU
rnacentral:lncRNA from 1 species